rnacentral:rRNA from 1 species
AAUAUUGGACAAUGGUCGAAAUCCUGAUCCAGCCAUGCCUCGUGUGUGAAGAAUGUCUUAGGAAUGUAAAGCACUUUCAGUUGGGAAGAAGGGCAGGAAGUUACUACCUUGCUGUUUUUACGUCACCGACAGAAGUAGCACCGGCUCACUUCGUGCCAGCAGCCGCGGUAAUACGAAGGUCGCAAUCGUUAAUCCGAAUUACUGGGCGUAAAUGCCGCGUAGGUGGUUUGUUAAGUUGGAAGUGAAAGCCCCGGGCUCAACCUGGGAACUGCUUGCAAAACUGGCAAGCUAGAGUAUGGCAGAGGGUGGUGGAAUUUCCUGUGUAGCGGUGAAAUGCGUAGAUAUAGGAAGGAACACCAGUGGCGAAGGCGACCACCUGGGCUAAUACUGACACUGAGGUGCGAAAGCGUGGGGAGCAAACA